rnacentral:sRNA from 15 species
UACCUUCCUGUACUUCGGUAAUGAAUAAGCCUGUUACCCGUCCCUUGCCAAUACCCAAAUCGGACAUGAGUUCAAGUCCCA